GCCCUGGUAGCUCAGUGGAUAGAGCAACCCCCUCCUAAGGGGUAGGUCACACGUUCGAUUCGUGUUCAGGGCACCA
rnacentral:tRNA from 1 species